UUAACAUUUAUUGUUCUCCUUUCAGGGAACGUCAUGCAGAUAAUCAAAGGUCAGUUCCUGGUCAACAUAAGUAAACAAGCUUAUUUAAGGCCUUACACUGUCUUUGGCUUGGAGAUGGGGUUUCACCAAGGACCUGCCCCUAUCUGCCUAGGCAUUUGGCUGCCUCCUGCCUCUCUCACUACAAGCUGGAAACCCCAAGAAAAUGGAUUAUCCCCUAUAAUGUCCAGAAAGAAACACAGUCCAGCAGACACCUGAGCUUUAGGCCAAUGAGCUCUGUGCAACACUUCUUCUGCCUUUCAGAAUUGUCUCUCUAUUCCCUGAGAAAAACCAAUCCUGAAAUUAGGCCGGUUAAUAACCCAACAACAGCCUGCCUGUGUUCAAGUGAAAGAAGAGUUGGAUGUCUCUCACUUUUAAUCAGAAGCUAGAAAAGAUUAAGCUUAGUGAGGAAAGCAUGUUGAAAGCCAAAAUAGGCUUAAAUCUAGACCUCUUAUGCCAAACACUUACCCAAGUUGUAAAACCAAACAAAAACUGUUUGAAGGACAUUAAAAGUGAUACUCCAGUGAACACACGAAUGAUAAGAAAGCAAAACAGUCUCCUUGGUGAUAUGGGGAAAGUUUUAGUGGUCUGGAUAGAAGAACAAACCAGCUACAACAUUCCCUUAAACUGAAGCCUAACACAGGGCAAAGUUCUGACUCUCUUUAAUUCUAUGAAGGCUGAGAGAAAUGAGGAAGUUACAAAAGAAAAGUUGGAAGCUAGCAGA
rnacentral:lncRNA from 1 species